rnacentral:rRNA from 1 species
GAGUUUGAUCGUGGCUCAGAUUGAACGCUGGCGGCAUGCCUUACACAUGCAAGUCGAACGGCAGCACGGGAGCUUGCUCCUGGUGGCGAGUGGCGAACGGGUGAGUAAUGCAUCGGAACGUAUCCUGGAGUGGGGGAUAACGUAGCGAAAGUUACGCUAAUACCGCAUAUUCUGUGAGCAGGAAAGCGGGGGGACCUUCGGGCCUCGCGCUCUUGGAGCGGCCGAUGUCGGAUUAGCUAGUUGGUGAGGUAAAGGCUCACCAAGGCGACGAUCCGUAGCAGGUCUGAGAGGAUGAUCUGCCACACUGGAACUGAGACACGGUCCAGACUCCUACGGGAGGCAGCAGUGGGAAUUUUGGACAAUGGGGGCAACCCUGAUCCAGCCAUGCCGCGUGAGUGAAGAAGGCCUCGGUUGUAA